CCCCACCCCCUGUGCUUUCUGGCAGCGACAGCACAGGCUGGAGUGUGGCAUUGAGUUCCCUCUCUUUGAAUCACCAGCUCGGUUUUCCGAGGUGUUACAGCCUCUGCCACAUCCAAGGACACCAGCAGCGAGCAGGAAGCUGUGGAGGGAUGGAUAUGAAGUAAUGAAGGGUUGCGGAUACCUGGAUUUUCUGGACCCAGAUGGGGAGUGGGAGACUGAGGCAGAGGAUGAUCUGGAAUGAGAUCUGGAGAGAGACCGAGACAAGGACCUGGAUCGGGAGCUGGAGCCGCUGUAGCUGCUGGCACUGCCACUGAUGCUGCCACUGAUGGUCCUCCUGCAAGACAGCAAGUGACACCAUCACACAAUAGUAACUGUAAGGAA